rnacentral:rRNA from 1 species
AUUGAACGCUGGCGGCAUGCUUUACACAUGCAAGUCGAACGGCAGCGCGGGCUUCGGCCUGGCGGCGAGUGGCGAACGGGUGAGUAAUGCAUCGGAACGUGCCCAGUAGUUGGGGAUAGCCCGGCGAAAGCCGGAUUAAUACCGCAUACGACCUGAGGGUGAAAGCGGGGGACCGAAAGGCCUCGCGCUAUUGGAGCGGCCGAUGUCGGAUUAGCUAGUUGGUGGGGUAAAGGCUUACCAAGGCGACGAUCCGUAGCUGGUCUGAGAGGACGACCAGCCACACUGGGACUGAGACACGGCCCAGACUCCUACGGGAGGCAGCAGUGGGGAAUUUUGGACAAUGGGGGUAACCCUGAUCCAGCCAUGCCGCGUGCGGGAAGAAGGCCUUCGGGUUGUAAACCGCUUUUGUUCGGGAAGAAAUCCUCUGGGCUAAUACCCCGGGGGGAUGACGGUACCGGAAGAAUAAGCACCGGCUAACUACGUG